AGUGAACGCUGGCGGUAGGCCUAACACAUGCAAGUCGAACGGCAGCACAGUAAGAGCUUGCUCUUACGGGUGGCGAGUGGCGGACGGGUGAGGAAUACAUCGGAAUCUACUUUUUCGUGGGGGAUAACGUAGGGAAACUUACGCUAAUACCGCAUACGACCUACGGGUGAAAGCAGGGGAUCUUCGGACCUUGCGCGAUUGAAUGAGCCGAUGUCGGAUUAGCUAGUUGGCGGGGUAAAGGCCCACCAAGGCGACGAUCCGUAGCUGGUCGGAGAGGAGGAUCAGCCACACUGGAAUGGGGACACGUUCCAGACUCCUACGGGAGGAAGAAGGGGGGAAAAUGGGACAAUGGGCGCAAGCCUGAUCAGGCCAUACCGCGUGGGUGAAAAAGGCCUUCGGGUUGUAAAGCCCUUUUGUUGGGAAAGAAAAGCAGCAGGUUAAUACCCCGCUGUUCUGACGGUACCCAAAGAAUAAGCACCGGCUAACUUCGUG
rnacentral:rRNA from 1 species